CAGGUGAUAGAAAAUAUUUACCAAAUUUAACAUCGAAUUAAUAAUGGGUCAUUAGUCAUUACCGUUUUUUGUGGACGUUGUUUAAGAACUUGUUUAAGGGAGGUUCUUCUUUUCUCUUUCAUUUUCCAUGUUCUCAAACAUCAAUUAUGGAGAAGAUAACACAUUAACAUGAAUCCAUCGCAGAGAAAAAUGACAGCGUAUUGACCAUGAUCGCAAUUAUCCAAAUGGUGAUAAUAGUGAAUUUCACAUAAUGCAAUAAGUAAAAGUUAGAAAAUUCCGAUUAUCACUAAUUGUAUAUAUGCGAAAAAUGUAAUUUCCCCGUGCUUUUUAACACGUGAAAAGUAAAACUUUUAAAAUUUGUUUUAACUGAAAAUUGGAAUUUUCACGGAUCUUCUCAAUUUUUAUUUUUAUUUGCGAAAAAUGGAAUUUUCACAUAUUCAUCCACACAUUAAUACGGUUGAAAACUGGAGUUCUCUUUACAAAUCCGUGACAAGAGGAAUUUUCACUAAUCUAAUCUCCAACAUGAUAUUCGAAAAUGCUUAGGGAUAGGGAGACUUUUAAUGGAGUAGGGAGACUUUUAAUGGAGUUAUGGUUUUGCUAGGGAUUAGUCAAAGGGAGAUAUUCCAGGGGAGUUUUGAUUUAGGUGCGCUUUUCAAGGGAAAUUUUCAAAGGGAGUUAUUUUAGGGAUUCAUCCGUUUUACUACAACUGGAUAAUUAAAGGUGCAAAGGAACCGAGCCGGAAUCGGUGGAACCGUAUCUGGUUUUGGACCGAAUCGAGGAAUGGGGUACAAGUACCGGUCCAAAAAAUAGGAACCGGGGUCUGGGAGGUACAGGUACACGGUCCAAUACAACUACCGUGCCGUACCGGACCGAAAGUACCGAAUAGUAAGAGCCGUUAGAUUUAGGGUAUACAAGAUGAGUAAUACCCGUUAGAUUAAAGGGGGUAUAUAAACGAACAUUACAGGGUUAGAGUUUCUCACUUUCUCUUAUUAGUUUCCUUUCUUUUUUUUUCCGUCUCCUCGGAGAAGAAGUGAAGAAGAAGUGAAGAACUCCAUUACUAAAUCCAUCUUCUUUGUUUCAAAUUUUCAAUCAUCUCUUAAUUUCUCACUCUUAAAAACCAGAAUUCUGCUGUAUCAAGACUUCAACUCCACGAUCUUCAUUACACCACCUCUCGAUUUUGACUACUGGGUUCAUUAAAUCUCGAUUUGGUUGUUUUGCUUAGCAAUACCGAUGUGUUGAUCCUUCACUGACAAAACUCGUUGAGAUCCGGUCUUAUAAGAGUUACUUGGUCCUAUCAACAAUAAUGCCACCACAAAUGCUGCUGCUGACAUGGAUUAGAAGAUCAAGAUUCAAGACUUUGUAUUUGUCAUUGCCACCACUGUCCAGUCAUUGCAAUGCCACCACAAGUGCUGCUGCACUGUUACUUGUUCCUUUUUCAGAUUUUCAAGACUUAGUGUGUGUGUGUUUGUGUGCUAAUGCUUCCUACUGCUACUUGUUCUUUUUUUUCCAGAUUUUCAAGACUUAGUGUGUGUGUUUGUGUGUGCUACUGCCUACUGCUACAGUGCUACUUGUUCUUUUUUCAGAAUUUCAAGACUUUGGUUGUUUGGCACUUUGGUUUGCUAAUACCAUUGCUACUUAUUAUUUAUUGGUUUUUUCUUUGAUUGA